UACGGAGGGGGCAAGCGUUAUUCGGAAUUAUUGGGCGUAAAGGGCGCGUAGGCGGCUAGAUGUGUCAAAGGUGAAAUCCCUCGGCUCAACUGAGGAACUGCCUUUGAAACUGUCUGGCUUGAGGCCGGGAGAGGGUAGCGGAAUUCCCAGUGUAGCGGUGAAAUGCGUAGAUAUUGGGAAGAACACCAGCGGCGAAAGCGCGCUACUGGGCCAUUACUGACACUCAUGGACGAAAGCUAGGGGAGCGAAAGGG
rnacentral:rRNA from 1 species